rnacentral:lncRNA from 1 species
AGAGCCGAGCAACCUUUUUUAUGAGGACUGAAAUGAUGAGGAGUUUGGUUACUUGAGAGCAAGAGCGUCUGAUGAACGAGUUGGGUUAAACGUUUAAUUGGUCAAACUACGUUGAGUGAAUAUAGUGUAUUUAUUAUCCUUUAUUUAGAAUCUUAGUCUAUUAUUUUUGAUUUUUUUAUUUAGAAUUUAGAUUUAGAUAUUUGUUAUAAUUUAUUGUUUGUUGGACCCAUCAGAUCAGUUAACUAAAAAACGGAUUAUUCUUUUACUUUUGGAAGACCCAAUCACAUAAUUUCAUUAUCUCCCUUCUAAGCCUUCUAUUUCAUCUACUAUUUCUAUUUCCCUAUUACACUACUUGCCCAUAGUUGACUUAGGUCAAGAUAGAUUGAAUCAAUUUAAUUUGAACCAGAGGUAGAGUAAGGAUUUGAAACAUAUAGAUUUAAGAUACUAAUCCUUUUAAAUUAUCGAGAUCUAAAUUAAUAAUUUAAAGUUCUAUAUAUAUUUAAUGGAUAUUUUAAUACAAAUAUGCGGUUAGAAUAAAACAGUUGAGUUUCGCCGAACCCGUAAUUCAUAUUUUAGCUUCGCUCCUGAUUUGAACAAUGGGAUAUUACAUAAACAAUCCAACUCAAAACCAUUGUCUCAUUUAUUUAUAAUUUGUUUAAUUAUCAAAGCAUCUUUUUCUUUUAUAUCGUAGAGAAAGUUUUUGUUAAAGUAUAGAGAAACUAUAUAUAACCAAUAAAAUAUAUUUUUUACAAAAAAACAUCUACUAUGAUAAGUUUUUUUAGGGUUAAUGUGGGCUAUCUGGUUACCUGACUUAAGUUUUUGCACGGGUUAAUUUGAUUUAUAACCGAUCAAUGAAUAUAAUUCAGGCUUAAUACCUAUAUUAAUACUUAUUUUUUA